rnacentral:rRNA from 1 species
UGGGGAAUUUUGCGCAAUGGGCGAAAGCCUGACGCAGCAACGCCGCGUGCGGGACGAAGGCCUUCGGGUUGUAAACCGCUUUCAGCAGGGAUGAAACUGACAGUACCUGCAGAAGAAGCCCCGGCUAACUACGUGCCAGCAGCCGCGGUAAUACGUAGGGGGCAAGCGUUAUCCGGAUUUAUUGGGCGUAAAGCGCGCGUAGGCGGCUUGUUAAGCGAGAUGUGAAAACCGGGGGCUUAACCCGCGGCCUGCAUCUCGAACUGGCAGGCUUGAGUCUGGUAGAGGAAAGUGGAAUUCCCAGUGUAGCGGUGAAAUGCGCAGAUAUUGGGAGGAACACCAGUGGCGAAGGCGGCUUUCUGGGCCACGACUGACGCUGAGGCGCGAAAGCUAGGGGAGCAAACA